GGGGAUGUAGCUCAGUAGUAUAGCAUUUGCCUAGCAUGCAUGAGACCCUGGGUUCAAUCCCCAGUCCUA
rnacentral:tRNA from 1 species